rnacentral:rRNA from 1 species
GGAUGCUGCUAUUUGGCUUGGGUUUAGGCAUGCAAGUUUUUUACUUAAAUUUAUUUAGGUGAAGGCGAACUGCUCAGUAACACGUAGUUAAUCUGCCCUUAGGUUAAGGAUAAGCACGGGAAACUGUGUCUAAUACUUAAUAGAAGUUUGGUUCUGGAAAGUCCUUACUUCGAAACAUUCGGCCUAAGGAUGAGACUGCGCCUGAUUAGCUUGUUGGUGGGGUAACUGCCUACCAAGGCUGUGAUCAGUAGGGGCUCUUAGCGGAGUGGCCCCGAGAAGGAAUCUGAGACACUAUUCCUAGCUCUACGGAGUGCAGCAGCUGCGAAUCUUUUACAAUGCACGAAAGUGUGAUAAAGCGAGCCAAAGUGUUUAUCGUACAGAUAAACUUUUCUUUAGUGUAAAAAACUAGAGGAAUAAGGACUGGGAAAGACCGGUGCCAGCCGCCGCGGUAAUACCGGCAGUUCGAGUGGCAUCCAACUUUAUUGGGUCUAAAACAUCCGUAGCUUGUUAUGUAAGUCUCUUGUGAAAUCCCACGUCUCAAGCGUGGGGCUUGCGGGAGAUACUGCAUAGCUAGAGACCGGUAGGCGUAAGGAGUACGGGCAAGGUAAUGGUAAAAUAUGUUAAUCUUGCUUGGACUAACAAUUUAGCGAAGGCACCUUACGAGGACGGAUCUGACAGUCAGGGAUGAAGGCCAGGGGCGCAAAACGGAUUAGAUACCCGUGUAGUCCUGGCAGUAAACACUGCUCACUAAACACCGGGCCCUCUUAGGGAGGAUUCGGUGCUGAAGGGAAGCCAAAGAGUGAGCUACCUGGGAAGUAUAGUCGCAAGAUCGAAAC